CCGUCCAAGGCUAAAUACGGGC
rnacentral:sRNA from 1 species